UACUAAACUAGCGUCGUAAAAUUGUCAGUGGUGACUUGAUCGUGGAUUUCGUGGACCGUAAUGACGGUAAUGACUUAUUCACUACGCUGGAAAAUUGGAGGAGAACACCGAAAAAUUGAUUAUUGGCCACGGAAAAAUCGAUGUUUUCCUACUGCGCGCCGUUGAAUGAUUUAAGGAAACGCCGUCGGAUCGACCAAGAAAAUGUGAAAACAGAUCGGAGAAAUUCGCCGGUGAGAUCAUGCGUCCGUCUGCUGUUGACACGUUCAUUGCCAAGUUGUCUGGACAACGCAAACGUAGGGGAGAGAAAAAUAUUUCACCCCCGUUUCAGAAGUGUAGAAAAAGAUGGAGAAGAAAGAAGAAAAAUAGGAGAACAGGUAAUAAG